rnacentral:rRNA from 1 species
UACAGAGGGUGCGAGCGUUGUUCGGAAUUAUUGGGCGUAAAGGGCGCGUAGGCGGUGCGGUAAGUCACCUGUGAAAUCUCCUGGCUCAACUGGGAGCUUGCAGGCGAAACUGCCGUGCUGGAGUGUGGGAGAGGUGCGUGGAAUUCCUGGUGUAGCGGUGGAAUGCGUAGAGAUCCGGAAGAACACCAGUGGCGAAGGCGGCCCGCUGGGCAGUGGCUGACGCUGAGGCGCGACAGCGUGGGGAGCAAACAGG